UAUUCUAAUAUCAUCUUUUUCUUGGAUAUAUUUACCAAAAAGAAAACCAUGAUAAAUUAUAAUAACAGGGGGACAAAAACCCAUAGAAAGUAUUUUUUUUUUUUAAAGUGGGAGCUAAAUCUCUAUUCCAUCUCAAUUUACUGGACUAAACACUGGGCCCAGCUAAAAAUAAUCUUGAUCCUUGCAGGCUGGGGGCCAAGCUACGUUUGGCAGAACAGCACACGGAGUGGAAUGGGAUGGGGGCUCACAGCCUAGCAGGGACGGCUCCCAGCAGGCUGUUUAGGCCACUCCUGUGGUCAUCGACUCAGCCAUUUCCCCACAGCAGGCCUCCAGCAGAGCGCCGGGCCUCAGUCCAUUGGGAAGUGGAGGUGAGGGACAGGGAGUGAAGUCCACCGGCAGCAGGAUGGACACAAAGGAACCCAGAGAUGCUAAACCCUGGCUAGGACUUCCACCUCUGCCGGACCAAGAAGUCUGCUGGUCAUACGAGAAGGAGCAAUUGGCUGGAGAGGACCGGCUGGGAGCCGGCAGUGUGGGAGAGCUGUGCCCAGGGAGAAAGCUCUUACCUGUCCUCAUCCACUGCUGACAUCCAGUGACCUACCUUUUAAACCUCUGGGUCUCCUUCAAACCUCUUCAGAUGAAACUAGUUUUUACAACUCAAGCUGGAGAAUGGCUCUGCUUAUUUAGAACAGCCAAGAAUCAACAAAUCCUAACCUGAUGAUUCACAUCGAGGGGCUGUGGUUAAUCAGUCUCACUCACUGGCAAGCAGCCACCCGCUCUUUCCUAUCUGUAUGAAGCAAAAGCGUCCCAGUGGAUGAAUGGGAUGAACUGCUAACCUGCUUUGGAAGAGAAGGCCAGAACUAUGCUGUUAAUCAUAUGGUGGGAAGGCAGGACCACUGGCCUCUGUCUCCUGUGAGUCAUCAGUGAGGCCACCGAGUCCCGGGAGACUCCUGGAGGGUCCCAACUUUAAUACCACCCAGCCGUAGACUACCACCCAGAUGUUAAUACAGAUCACUUGCUCUAGGUCACACAGGGACGGAAUGAAGGUGGAAUUUUUACUGAGUCUACCUGUUUGCAAAGUCAGCCUCUGGCAGUGCCUGGGCGUCACUGAGAGUUGCAUAUGUGCAUGCAUAUUUUGAAAACGACACAUCAGGACAGAGUGUGCUGCCACCAUUCUGAACUUUGGGGGGAAAGGAGUCAUGUGAGUAGGUAUGUCACUGUGGGAGGCAGUGACCUGGGGCCGUCCCCCUUCACAUAUGGCUGCCAGGCCCUCAGCCACUCACCA